rnacentral:rRNA from 1 species
GAUGAACGCUGGCGGCGUGCCUAAUACAUGCAAGUCGAGCGAACUGAUUAGAAGCUUGCUUCUAUGACGUUAGCGGCGGACGGGUGAGUAACACGUGGGUAACCUGCCUGUAAGACUGGGAUAACUUCGGGAAACCGAAGCUAAUACCGGAUAGGAUCUUCUCCUUCAUGGGAGAGGAUUGAAAGAUGGUUUCGGCUAUCACUUACAGAUGGGCCCGCGGUGCAUUAGCUAGUUGGUGAGGUAACGGCUCACCAAGGCAACGAUGCAUAGCCGACCUGAGAGGGUGAUCGGCCACACUGGGACUGAGACACGGCCCAGACUCCUACGGGAGGCAGCAGGAGGGAAUCUUCCGCAAUGGACGAAAGUCUGACGGAGCAACGCCGCGUGAGUGAUGAAGGCUUUCGGGUCGUAAAACUCUGUUGUUAGGGAAGAACAAGUACAAGAGUAACUGCUUGUACCUUGACGGUACCUAACCAGAAAGCCACGGCUAACUACGUGCCAGCCGCCGCCGUAAAAC